AGUCCACGUACGUCACUUUGCAUAGAAUUACAAUUCCUGCCACCGCCUCCAGUCGCACCAUUUCGAUCUUGUUCCUCCACGCCCUACCUCCUCUUCCCCCCGCGUCCACCUCCCCAUCCUAGGCAGCGCCGCCACUGCCUCCAGACGCCGCGGUCGCUGCCUCCUCUCCCCUCUUCUGGCCGCCUCAUCUCCCCCUUUGAUCUCCGCCUCAAUUGCUGCCGGCAAUAGUAGGAACAGCCAAUGGCGCUCCAACCCGCCGCCGCCACAUGCCUCCUGCUUCGCCAAACCUCCUCAAGAAGUGCCGUGAAGGGCUCCCAUCCUCCGACGCCGGCGCUCCAGCAGAAGGUCUGAUCCUCGGGCUCGUGAUCUUCUUAUGAUCUGGUCGGUUUGUCGGGCCUCGGAUCAUUGUCCCUGCUGGAAGCUGGGCAGUUCGACCUUGCCAACCGUUCUUACCCCAGCAUCGCGGGCAGCGGAAGCCGGGGAUGCAGACUCCGCACUGUUCGCAGUGCCGCUCCCAAGAGUCCAAGACGAAGCCCGUUCCCCACUGACCUGCAUGUCUUUCCCUCAGGUUCCGGCUGCGCGAGGGGCGGCGACGGCGGCAAUGGCUGCGUCAGCCAGAGCUCUCAAGGUCGGACCGCCAAGGCAGGCCUGACGUUGGCAAUGGAGGAACAGUUGGUGAUGUCGUUCUUGAGUGCUCUGGGCCGAUCUAGGAUUUCAGUAGCUUGCAGCAUCACACGAAAGCUGGCCGAGGAGGCCAUGGACUUCCUAAGAAUCAGAUAGGAACAAGGGGUUCUGACAAGGUUGCACAAGUACCAGUUGGCACAGUGAUUCAUCUAGGCAGCACUGGAUUGCACAGGCACUUAGCGGAAUAAAAGACGAGACCACCUGGUAUUCUUUGUUAAUGAUAUGAAAGAAAUAUUAUUGAAUUUUAACAACCUGAUCCUUCAAGUAGUUCAGUGAUAAAGUUAGGUUGGUCCUCUUGGUGGCAUCAUCUUCAUGACCUGUUGUUUGCUGGCACCGACUGUGCAGAUUUCAAAGAAAGGAAGCUCUCUAUGGAGCAAAGGGCAGAUGAAAAGAUUUUGGAGGGAUGAGACUUGAGAUGUGAAGCACUAAGAUAAAGAGUUUAAAUCUAAGAUGAAGCCUACAUCUUCGACUAAAAUUUCUGGAUCAAACAUAGAGAAGGAUGUUGUUGAGUGGUAGCACUAAAUCACUGACAUUUCAAAUAAGGAAUUGAAGAGAAGGUGUUGAAAUCCUUGUGGCAACUCCUGGCCGCUUGAUGGAUCUGCUUCAGGCCUAGACUAUCACUGCAAAUGGUGAAUUACUUGGCUCCUGAUCAAGCUAAUCGAAUGCUCGAUACUGGGUUUGAACCAUCGAUAGCUAAAGCUGUUGAGCAGAUGGAUAUGCCCUCUUGUGGUGUGAGAUGGAUGGUGUUGUUUACGACGGACAUGCAACAAUCAGAUUUAGAUUAAAGAAUUCUAAAAACAUAUGCAUAUGUAGUUCAUUCAUGGUUUGACUAACUCGCUCGUGUAUAACUCACAUGAUAGGACACAAGAAGGUUUUCUUUUCAAAGCUAAGACUCCAUAACCAAUAUAAUCAUUUGCAUGUUUCCUUCUC